AUUAGAAUUUCAAUGCAAAUGGAGAGCUGUAAAUUUUCUAUUGAAGGGCAUCGAACUUGUCCCAGAAAUUUUCUAUCACAUCCUGCAUAUUACUUUUUUUUCCGUAAUUUCAACCACCUUCUUCAUAUUUUUACUACUCCUCCUGAAAAGUAUCCAGAAAAGAAAAAACAAAAGCAAUCCAAAAAUGGAGGUCUGAGAGAUA
rnacentral:misc_RNA from 1 species